rnacentral:lncRNA from 1 species
ACUAAUAAGUGAGAUCAAUCCAAUAAGCAUUAUCAUUAAUUUUCUCUAACACUUGAAAUGGUCCAUCAUCUCUCGGAUCUACCUUUAAUUUCCUUUGUUUUAGAAACAUUUCCUUGUCCAUAUGUAACCAAACCCAAUUUUCUAGUUCAAGUACAACUUGUUUUUGCCCUUUAUUAGCCAUUUGAGCAUAAACUUGGUUCUUC